AUUGAACGCUGGCGGCAGGCCUAACACAUGCAAGUCGAGCGGAUGCAGGGAGCUUGCUCCUGGAUUCAGCGGCGGACGGGUGAGUAAUGCCUAGGAAUCUGCCUGGUAGUGGGGGAUAACGUCCGGAAACGGGCGCUAAUACCGCAUACGUCCUGAGGGAGAAAGAGGGGGAUCUUCGGACCUCACGCUAUCAGAUGAGCCUAGGUCGGAUACGCUAGUUGGUGGGGGAAAGGCCUACCAAGGCGACGAUCGGUAACUGGUCUGAGAGGAUGAUCAGUCACACGAGAAGUGAGACACGGUCCAGACUCCUGCGGUAGGCCGCAGUGCGGAAUAUUGGACGAUGGGGGAGAGCCUGAUACAGCCAUGCCGCGGGUGUGAUGAAGGUCUUCGGAUGGGAAAGCGAUUUAAGUUUGGAGUAAGGGCAGUAAGUUAAGAACUGGCUGUAUUGACGGUACCAAAAGAAGAAGCACCGGCUAACUUCGUG
rnacentral:rRNA from 1 species